rnacentral:tRNA from 1 species
AAGAAAGUAGGUUAUCAAAGUAAACUUUUAAUUUUCAAAGUUAAAGAAGCUAAAAAGUCUUUCUUGU